rnacentral:tRNA from 1 species
GCUCCCGUAGUCCACUUAAGAUGUAACACUGAAGAUGUUAAGAUGGGCCCUAGAAAGUCCCGCGAGCA